rnacentral:rRNA from 1 species
UGAGUACGAAAUGCUACGGCAUUGAAGUGAUCUAUGCCAUGCUUCCAAGAAAAUCUCGUCAUAUCUUAAAUAAUGAAUGCCUGUACCUUAAACCGACACAGGUAGGUAGGUAGAGUAUACCAAGGGGCGCGAGAUAACUCUCUCUAAGGAACUCGGCAAAAUAACCUCGUAACUUCGGAAGAAGAGGUACCCUUGAAAAAGGGUUGCAAUAACCAGACCCUGGCGACUGUUUACCAAAAACACAGGUCUCCGCUAAUUCGUAAGAUCAAGUAUGGAGGCUGACGCCUGCCCAGUGCCGGAAGGUUAAAGAAGUUGGUCAAUCCUUGGAUGAAGCUGGCGACUGAAGCCCCGGUGAACGGCGGCCGUAACUAUAACGGUCCUAAGGUAGCGAAGUUCCUUGUCGGGUAAGUUCCGACCCGCACGAAAGGCGUAACGAUCAGGGUGCUGUCUCGGAGAGAGACUCGGCGAAAUAGACAUGUCUGUGAAGAUGCGGACUACCUGCACCUGGACAGAAAGACCCUAUGAAGCUUUACUGUAUCUUGGAAUUGGGUUUGGGCCUUGUUUGCGCAGGAUAGGUGGGAGGCUAUGAAAAUAUUCUUGUGGGAAUGUUGGAGCCAACGGUGAGAUACCACUCUAGCAAGGCUAAAAUUCUAACUCUGAACCGUUAUCCGGUCAGAGAACAGUUUCAGGUGGGCAGUUUGACUGGGGCGGUCGCCUCCUAAAAGGUAACGGAGGCGCGCAAAGGUUCCCUCAGGCUGGUUGGACAUCAGUCGUAGAGUGUAAAGGCAUAAGGGAGCUUGACUGCGAGACCCACAAGUCGAGCAGAGACGAAAGUCGGCCUUAGUGAUCCGACGGUUCCACGUGGAAGGGCCGUCGCUCAACGGAUAAAAGUUACUCUAGGAUAACAGGCUGAUCUCCCCCAAGAGUUCACAUCGACGGGGAGGUUUGGCACCUCGAUGUCGGCUCAUCGCAUCCUGGGGCGGUAGUACGUCCCAAGGGUUGGGCUGUUCGCCCAUGAAAGCGGUACGCGAGCUGGGCUCAGAACGUCGUGAGACAGUUCGGUCCAUAUCCGGUGCAGGCGUUAGAGCAUUGAAAGGAGUCCCCCUUAGUACGAGAGGACCGGGGGGAAUACACCGCUGGUGUACCAGUUAUCGUGCCAACGGUAAACGCUGGGUAGCCAUGUGUAGCGUGGAUAACUGCUGAAAGCAUCUAAGUAGGAAGCCCACCUUAAGAUGAGUGCUCUCACCGCUAUAAGCGGGUAAGGUCACGGUAAGAACAACCGUUAUAUAGGCAUUAAGUAUACAUGCAGCAAUGCAUUUAGCUGAGAUGUACUAACAGACC